rnacentral:rRNA from 1 species
GAUGAGCGCUGGCGGCGUGCCUAAUACAUGCAAGUCGAGCGAGUGGAUUAAGAGCUUGCUCUUAUGAAGUUAGCGGCGGACGGGUGAGUAACACGUGGGUAACCUGCCCAUAAGACUGGGAUAACUCCGGGAAACCGGGGCUAAUACCGGAUAACAUUCUGAACCGCAUGGUUCGAAAUUGAAAGGCGGCUUCGGCUGUCACUUAUGGAUGGACCCGCGUCGCAUUAGCUAGUUGGUGAGGUAACGGCUCACCAAGGCAACGAUGCGUAGCCGACCUGGGAGGGUGAUCGGCCACACUGGGACUGAGACACGGCCCAGACUCCUACGGGAGGCAGCAGUAGGGAAUCUUCCGCAAUGGACGAAAGUCUGACGGAGCAACGCCGCGUGAGUGAUGAAGGCUUUCGGGUCGUAAAACUCUGUUGUUAGGGAAGAACAAGUGCUAGUUGAAUAAGCUGGCACCUUGACGGUACCUAACCAGAAAGCCACGGCUAACUACGUGCCAGCCGCCGCAGUAA